rnacentral:rRNA from 1 species
GCGCAGCAGGCGAGAAUACUCCGCAAUGCCCGAAAGGGUGACGGGGGGAUUCCAAGUGCCUACGCUUAGCGUAGGCUGUUCAGGUGCCUAAAAAGCACCUGGAGGAAGGGCUGGGUAAGACGGGUGCCAGCCGCCGCGGUAAUACCCGCAGCCCGAGUGGUAGUCGCUUUUAUUGGGCCUAAAGCGUCCGUAGCCGGUCUGGUAAAUGCCUGGGUAAAUCGUGGGGCUUAACCUCACGAAUUCCGGGUAGACUGCCAGACUUGGGACCGGUUGAGGGAGAGGGUACUCCAGGGGUAGGGGUGAAAUCAGCAAGGUAAGCUGAUGUAACUUGCCUUGCAAGUCACAAUCCUGUAAUCCUUGGAGGACCACCGGUGGCGAAAGCGCUCUCCUAGGACGGGUCCGACGGUGAGGGACGAAAGCCAGGGGAGCAAACCGGAUUAGAUACCCCG